rnacentral:rRNA from 1 species
UACGAAGGGGGCUAGCGUUGUUCGGAAUCACUGGGCGUAAAGCGCACGUAGGCGGAUGUGCAAGUCAGGGGUGAAAUCCCGGAGCUCAACUCCGGAACUGCCUCUGAUACAGCACGUCUUGAGUUCGAGAGAGGUGGGUGGAAUUCCUAGUGUAGAGGUGAAAUUCGUAGAUAUUAGGAAGAACACCGGUGGCGAAGGCGGCCCACUGGCUCGAUACUGACGCUGAGGUGCGAAAGCGUGGGGAGCAAACAGG